rnacentral:piRNA from 1 species
UAGACAAAACACCCCAUGUUGCUUGUUAA